rnacentral:rRNA from 1 species
UACGAAGGGGCUAGCGUUGCUCGGAAUCACUGGGCGUAAAGGGUGCGUAGGCGGGUCUUUUAAGUCAGGGGUGAAAUCCUGGAGCUCAACUCCAGAACUGCCUUUGAUACUGAAGAUCUUGAGUUCGGGAGAGGUGAGUGGAACUGGCGAGUGUAGAGGUGAAAUUCGUAGAUAUUCGCAAGAACACCAGUGGCGAAGGCGGCUCACUGGCCCGAUACUGACGCUG